AAUCCAUUAGGCGGAUGACUAAGCUCAAAACAAUGAAGAAGGGCGUGGCAAGCAGCGAAAUGCUUUUGGGAGGCGCAUGCAGCCUUUGAUCAAAAGAUUCCUUAAUGAGACUUCUCAAUCGCAAGAUUAAUCCGAAAGGAUGAAUAACGCAGGGAAUUGAAACGUCUUAGUACCUGCAGGAAAAGAAAUCAAUCGAGAUGCUGUAAGUAUCAGCGAGAGAAAGCAGCACAGAGCAAACUGAAUCCUAGCAGAAAUGCAAAGGAGAUGUGGUGUAAUAGGACUUACUUUUAAUCUUCGUUGGAUUUAUCAAAUACUCUGGAAAGAAUAGCUAUAGAGGGUGAUAGCCCCGUAGAUAAAUUCAGAAAGAUGCGUAAGUAUCCUGAGUACUGUCACUCGGAUAUGUGGCAGGAAUUUGGGAGGCAUUAACUUCCAACUCUAAAUAUGUUUUGAGUCUGAUAGCGUAUAAAGUACCUUGAGGGAAAGUUGAAAAGAACCUGUAACAGGGAGUGAAAAGAGCCUGAAACCUAGUGGAUAUAGUAAAAGUACUGCUCUUCGGAGUUGUACUGUACGUUUUGAAUAACGGGCCAGGGAGUUUCUCUAAGUGGCAAGAAUAAGGGUAUAAAGCCUAGUUUCUAAGCGAAAGCAAUUUAUCCGCAGCUGCUGAAGUGAGGGAUAUGGUAUGAAAGUGCCAAAGUCACUUGGAGAUAACCAGAAACCAGAUGAUCUAGUCUUGGAUAAGGUGAAGCGAGGUUAAUACUUCGUGGAAGCCUGAAGGUACUCUACGUGCAUGUGUUACUCUAAUCUGUGACUAGGGGUGAAAAGCCCAUCGAAUCUGGUGAUAGCUGGUUCCUAUCGAAAUAGGCCGCAGUCUAGUCUCAACAGAGAUAAUCAAGGGGGUAGAGCUACGGAUUUGGGGGUUAAGGGACGAAAGUCCUGGCUUCCUUGUCCAACUCCAAAUAUCUUGAUAUCGUAGAUGUUGGGAAACAGGGGCGCGCGGUAAGCGUGUGUCCCGAGAGGGGAACAACCCAGACUAAAGUUAAGGUCCCAAAAUAUUGGUUAAGUGUGAAAGGGUGAAAGGCGUGUUUAACCACAGACAGCGGGGAGGUAGGCUUAGAAGCAGCCAUCCUUUAAAGAAAGCGUAACAGCUCACCCGUCAAGGUUAAAUGCCCUGAAAAUGGACGGGGCUAAAACCAAUUACCGAUACUUUAGACUAGCCAAAAGCUAGGUAGUAGAUAGGCGUUCUGUUGGGGUAAAAGUUUGUCCAUAAGGAUAAGUGAACCCAAUAGGAAUGAGAUUCCUGGCGGUAGUAGGAUCAGAAUAGCGUGAGAAUCGCUAACACCGAAAGGGUAAGGGUUCCUUAGCAAUAUAAUUUAGCUAAGGGUAAGUCGAUCCUAAGUAAUCUCAUAACAUGAAAAUUACGAAAGGGAAAAAGGUUAAGACUCCUUUACUACUUGGGUACUCGGCAACGAAAGUCUAGUUUUAUAGUUUGGGGUUAAACCGACAUCUAUCAUCGUAGAUGUUAACUAGAAUAAAUCAGGUGAGUAUUGUAAUGAUGAGACCCUGAUUAAAUCUAGGAAUAGUAGACCUUGUGUCUAUUUGGUUGAAACCUAGAACCCGUGAAAAUAGAAUUAGGAUGAAUCCCAAGUAAUCGUACCAAGAACCAGCACUGGUACCCUAGGUGAGAAACCUAAGGUGUGAGGGAUAACCAUAGCUGAGGGAAAUCGGCAAAUUAGCUCCGUGUCUUCGGAAGAAGGAGUUCCUGCGCUCGUAUCUUUAUAGAUGCGAGUACAGGAUGCAAUAACAAGGGAAACCCGACUGUUUAACAAAAACAUAACUAAUCGCAAGCCUGCAAAGGUUCGUAUGGUUAGUGACGUCUGCCCAGUGCUAGUACUUAAAACCCUCAUUCAAGAGGGCUAAAAGCUAGUAAACGGCGGGAAUAACUAUAAUUCUCUUAAGGUAGCCAAAUGCCUUGUCGUUUGAAUGACGACGUGCAUGAAUGGCGUAACGAGGUUUCCGCUGUCCCCAGCUGUGCUCCCCUGAAUACAGCGUCCUGGUGCAAAGUCCAGGGAUUCCCAGUGGGACGCGAAGACCCCGUAGAACUUUACUGUAGCCUGUUGCUGCGGUAUAAUCUUCAUUGUAUAGCGUAGGUGGAAGUUGCGAUGAGCAACAACAAUGUAACACCACCCUAUGAGGAUUAUACUACUUACUUUAGCAAUAAAGGACACCAGCAGGUGGACAGUUUGGCUGGGGCGGCACCCCGCUGAAAAGAUAUCAGUGGGGCCCAAAGGUCAGCUCACUCCGUUUAGAAAUCGGGGGUAGAGUGCAAGAGCAAAAGCUGGCCUGACUGCAUUCAUAAACGCAUUAGAUGCAGAAACGAAAGUUGGGUCUAGCGAACCCCUAUGUCCUCCUUAAUGGGGGCUAGGUAUGACGGAAAAGUUAUCUCGGGCAUAACUGAGUUGUAGCGCCUAAGAGUUCAUAUCGACGGCGCUGUUUGCUACUUCGAUGUCGGCUCUCCCUAUCCUGGGCGUGCAGAAGCGCCCAAGGGUGAAGGUGUUCACUUAUUAAAAGGGAUCGCGAGCUGGGUUAAAUACGUCGUGAGACAGUAUGUAUGAUAUCUACUGGGAAUGUCUACUAUCUAAGAGGAAGGAACAUUUAGUACGAGAGGAACAAUGUCUCGGCGCCUCUGGUCAACCGGUUAUCUGAUAAGGUAGGCCGGGCAGCUACGCGCUAAGGGAUAAAAGCUGAAAGCAUCUAAGCUUGAAACCCACCUCAAAAAUAGAUAGAGAGCCCUUCU
rnacentral:rRNA from 1 species